GAUGGGAGUGUAGCCCUGGGAAUUACUGGGGAAUGGGGGUACGCGCGCACGGGCUGGCAUAUUGGUUGUUUAUUAACUAAUACUUUUAUGUACGAACUCGUUUGCUGUUGUAAUGAGUGGCCAUAAUUGAGGUGUCAAAGCGUCAAAAUCAAAGCAAUGCGUCGUUGUCUAUUUUUACCUCUAACACAGGGUCCGCUGAGUCGAGGGGGCGUGGCAUCUAUACUUUCGCUGGCAGAGGUUGAAAACGUCAUACACGUGCAACAAAAGGAAGAACAACGAAAGUUGGAUAGUUGAAUGCUUGACGAAAUGUAAAUCAACAGCAGUACAGCGAACGGUGCAGAGCUAUAGAUAUCGGCAUGUGUUUUGAGGAAGUUAUUCAAAGUAAUGUACCAUGUUAGUUUGAUAAGUUAGAUAUAUGAACUUCGAGCAACGCACUUUUCUUCAAUCAAAACACAGCAGUCAAUGGAUUUACUUAGGAAAGUGAUUAUAAGCUCUAUGAAGACCGCAAGUAAAAGAAAGUCGAUGGAUCUACCCAGGAAAGUGGUUAUAAGCUCUACGGAAGCGGCCGAAAUUAUUAAUUUAAUUCAUUGAAGCUUUUACGAUGGUCAGAGAGGGAAAGCGUAAGCAAAUAAUAAAAUAAAUUAUGUAAAGUGUGUGGGUGCAAAUACAACUGUAUUCAGAUA